UUUGGUCAUGUGGUACUUGAGGGAUGCUCGUUGCCUGCACUGGAACCCACAGACCUCACACCUGGAGGGCAGAGGCAGGUGAGGUAAGCUGCACUUGUCCCAGUCACAGGCAGUGCCCAGCCCACACUUACUGCAGUGGCUUGGCUCCCGAGUGGCGCAUCUGGUGGACGAGAAGGUGCUUCCGCUGCUUGAAGGUCUGCCCGCACUCGUCACAGAUGUAAUUGCGGACCUCUGCAAGAGCAGAGCGGUGUGAGCAGCAGCCACCGCCGAUGCCCAGUCUGCUCCAGGAGAGGACGGUGACCACUGCUUUACACAGCACCGGGGACCUUUAAGAACCCAACCUUAUUUAAAACCAAAGACGAUUCUGAUAUGAAGAACUUCACUGAUAAAAGUUUCUAGCUAGUCGACGGUGGUGCACCAACCACUAAGUCCCAGGACUCGGGAAGCAGAGACAGGUGAUUCUCUUAAGUUCAAAGAUCGUCUGGUCUAGAGAGCGAGGUCUAGCACAGCCAGGACUACAGAGAAAAACCACUUUCCAAUAGACACUAGUUCAUUAAGAGAUUUCCAAGUUCCUCACAGCGCUGUUACACGGCUAGGUCUUCCCCACAGAAACUGUUUGCAUUUCAGACCUUUCUGUUUGCUUUUGAGACAAGAUCUCACUGCGUAGCCAUGGCUGGCCUUCCAGAGGACUCAGAGAGAUCCGUGCACCACCAUGCCCAGCCUGACCUUUGCGGGCACAGAUCUCUCUCUGGGAUUCACCCCAAAGUGAGCCCCAAACAGCGCAGAUAACGUGGUGGAGGGGAAGCGGGCUGAUGCACUGUGGGAAUCAGCUUCUCGAGCUACUCAACAGAAACUACAGCCACAUCAGGCAUGGUGGCACACGCCUGCAGUCUCGGUACUCAAUAGUUCAAGACCAGCCUCUGCUGUAGAUCAGAUUUGAGGCCAGCCAUUACAUGAAAACUCUCAAAAACAAAACUGUUGAGAAGGCUCAGCAGGUAGUCACUUGCCACCAAGACUAAUAACCUGAUUCAAAUCUCAGAUCUCAUGUGGUACGAGAGCCGAUAGCUACAAGUUCCACAUGCAUGCUGUGUGCACACAUGUGCUUUCUUUUACACCGUGGCCACUGCAGCACUAUGCACCAACUGUACUUGUUCCAACCGAUGCUGUCUACACAGCUAUAAAACACCUCUGACCUCUCAGCUAAAGAGUCUGUUUCACCUCUUUGUUUUUUGAAGCAGGAUUUCUCUGUGUAGACCAGGCUGGCCUCAGACUUAAGAACUCCUCCUGUGUCUGCCUCCCAAGUGCUGGGGUCAAAGGCGUGGGCUAUCACGGCCCCACGAAUGUUUCACCUCUGCAGAGAGCUGCUGCUGUGUCCACUAGUGACUGGCUACACAGCUUGAAGAUCUGGACCAAAGGUAGUUAGUCAUCAGGAGACAUGCCCAAAUGCGCUUAUCAAGGAAAAUCAAUAUAUAGCUGGGUUUCACCAUAAAACCAAGUAAAUGAUCCAUCAAUAAAAUGCCGAACGCUAAUG
rnacentral:lncRNA from 1 species